CCUUGGAAUGAUGAUGAAUAACUUUUCCAGCAGAGGGAAACAUUCAAGGGAAAGUAAAAUAAGGUCAAAGAUUAAUGAUACCUUCAGGGUCUUCCAGCACAAUAGAUAACAUCUAAGGAAUGACCAGGAGAAGUUGUCAUGUAUGUUUUCCAAGACCACUGACUCCAGACACCUUGAUGCCAAGACUCCUGGGUCUGGAGCAUAAGUGACAUAUGGAGGACAUCUGAGUACUUGUCCUUAUUCAACAAAUUCCUAGAUGCCUGAGGGAACAUGUAAACCAGACCACCAUCCUCAAUAAAACUUCAGACUUCAAGAAAAGAUGAGAUUCCUCCUUUUCUCUUCCAAGUCUCCCAGACACUUUGUGUGUAUCUGCACUCUCUCUAUAUCUUCAAUAAAUUCUUCUCUCACUU